AUUUUUUAUUUUUUGUAGAAUGGGGUCUCACUAUGUUGCCCUGUCUGGUCUCAAACUCCUAGAUUCAUGUGGUCCUCCUGACUCAGCCUCCCAAAGUUACAUGUGUGAGCCACUGUGCCUGGCCAAUAUCUUAAAAUUCUUAAUACUCCCCAUAGCAUAGAACCCCUUGCAUUAUAGUAGCAGCUGAUUGAAUACUUGUCAUUUUGCUUUUUAGCAUGCCCAAAGAGAUGUAUAAUUGUCUUUGAGCCAGUAUGAAAAAUAUAGAAAAGAAGAGAAUUGGGUCAAAUCCUGUUUUAGUAGUUGGUAGUUUGCUAUAGUACAAAGCUCAGACCCAUAGGUUAAAGGUGCUGACCAACUCAAGGCUUAGUACACAGGCUGAAAGCACCCUAACAAUCAGUGUAGAAGAUAAAAUCCUCUGAACUUGUCAGAAGAAGCACAGACCUGCUAAGGAUAAGUUACUUGGCUUAUUCAGAGACUAUGGCUAAUUUCUUAUGUGGCCCAGGCCAGGUGUGAAAGAAGAAAAUGCGAAAGGCAACAAAGAAUACUCUGGAAUCAUAGCAAGAGAGAGAGUGUCAGCCUUGGAUUUCUGCUUCCUUUCUCUCCUUAGCUAUAAAUUAUGGCUGCAUGGCCUGUCUAGUUCAGAGCGAAGGGACUAGGGAUCUAUUUAUUUUAGAUCUUUCUGAAGGGUUUGCUGUGGGAGUCUAAAAUAUUUAGUUAUCCCUUUGCUCAUGGCUUCACUUUAUUAGUAGGAAAAUUCACUGUAAUUGCAAGCUUUUAAAUUUACGGUGGAGAGAUAGUGAGUUUGUAGAAGAAAUAAAAGCCACACAUUCUUGGUUCUUUCAUAACAUGGGGAAAAUCAAUCACCACCUGGCUGGCAGCUCAGUUACUUGGGGCAAAAAUAACAAACUUCCAUAGGAACCAACCUAUGGAGGGUGACAGGAGCAGGGAUGAUUUUAAUUCUAAAGGGAGGAUCUUAGAGCAGAUGUCAUUCAUUGAUACUGCAUGGAUUCUGAUAAUUUAGCAUUGUUGAACAUUAGAGUAAUAAAAUGUAAUAAUAACAUAGCAAUGUUUGAUCUAUGUUGUUUGGUGGUGGGUAAAUUUUUCUUUUGAUUUUCAUUAAAUACUGUUACAAUGAUGUUUAUGUAAUUAGCAAAUGAAAUGAUUUGUGUCAAGCACCGAGUCUUGUGCCAGGCACAUAGUACAUGCUCAAUAAAUAGAAAAUAUUGUUUUUUGUUUUUGUUUUUGUUUUUUUGAGAUGGAAUCUUGCUCUGUUGCCAGGCUGCAGUGCAGUGGCAUGAUCUCGGCUCACUGCAACCUCCGCUUCCCAGAUUCAAGUGAUUCUCCUGCCUCAGCCUCCCAAGUAGCUGGGACUAUAGGCGCGUGCCACUACGCCCAGCUAAUUUUUGUAUUUUUAGUAGGGACAGGGCUUCAACAUGUUGGCCAGGAUUGUCUCUAUCUCUUGACCUCGUGAUCCACCCGCCUCGGCCUCCCAAAGUGCUGGGAUUACAGGCAUGAACCACCACACCCGGCUGAAAAUAUUGUUUAAUGAAUAAUUCCAUCUCACAAUUCAGAAUAUACAUGAAUUGUCUCCCACUAUUAGCACACACUAGUGAGGUUUGGUUUUAUUUUAGAGAUGGGGGUCACGCUGUGUUGCCCGGGCUGGUCUUGAAUUCCUGGGCCCAAGUGAUCCUCCCAUCUCAGCUUCUCAAGUAGCUGGAGCUACAGAUAAGUGCCACUGUGCCCAGCUCAGCAGUGAGGUUUUGCUGCACAAAUGGAUGCUCUGAAAGUCAUUUCCUCACAACAGGAAAUCUAAUAUAUAUAGAUAGUAAGUCACUAGACUGCCUAACCAGACGCUUCUCUGUCAACUGGCUUCCAGCUCACCAUUUUAACUCUAUGAUGAGAAUAAUUUUUAUAUUUUCUGAUUAUCACAGAGUGAAAAUUGUGAACCCUGUGCUGAUCAUUUUAGAUAAAUGUUAAUGUGAUGUAUAAAACAUGUAUCUUUGUAGGGACAUACCAACACCCAAGGUAUACACAAAUUCUCUUCCCACUCUUUGCCCACACUGGUGAGAUUUUGAUGUUCAAAUUGACGUCCCCAUCCUUAGCCCCCAGAGGGGAGCAGCCAGGGAGCUGCAGCUGACAAUCUGAGGAAGAGGAAGGGUGUCAGGGAGCCUGGGUGUGGGGAGAAUCUUCCCCUCAAGACCCACAUAUUGCUAGAGUUCUCCUUGUGAACCAAGGAGCCCCUAGCCCACAGGUAACCUCACUGCCUGUUUUUCAACCUUUAUAGUUUCCUUUGGAAAAGCAUUCACAUCUUCCUGAGAACUGAGAUAAGAUGCUAGUACCUUUGCAGAGAUUGAAUUAAUCAAGCUGUGCAGGAAUGGAACCCAGAGUGGAUGCCUGGAUUGGGGAUUGAUGGAAGAGGGAGAGGAAGAAGUGGGACAAGAUGGAGGAGUCCUGGGAGGACAGAAUUGUGCUUUCACCAAGGCUGGCAUGAAGUGGCAUGAUCACAGCUCACUGCAGCCUCGAACUCCUGGCCUCAAGUGAUCCUCCCUCCUCGGCCUCCCAAAGCGCUGGGAUUACAGGUGAGAGCCACCGUGUCCAGCCCACAUGUGAUAUUUUGAUAUAAGAAAGCAAUGUGUAAUGAUCAAAUCAGAGUAAUUGGUGUAUCCAUCACCUCAGUCAUUUAUCAUUUCUUUGUAUUAGGAACAUUCUAAUUCCUCUUUUAGUUAUUUUGAAAUAUACAGAACAUUAUUGUUAACUAUAGUACACUAUUGUGCUACGGAACACUGGAUUUUACUCCUUCUAUCUAAGUGUAUUUUUGUACCUAUUAACCAUCCUCUCCGUAACCCCCUCUCUUCACUACCAUUUCCAGCCUCUAGUGGCCAUUGUUCUAUUCUCUAUCUCCAUGGGUUUGAUUUCUUUUUUUUUUUUAGCUUCCACAUAUGAGUAAAAACAUGUACCUGGCUUAUUUCACUCAACAUAAUGUCCUUCAGUUCCAUCCGGGUUGUUGCAAAUAAGAGGAUUUCAUUCUUUAUUAUGGCUGAAUAUUAUUCCAUUGUGUCUAUACACCAUGUUUUAAAAGUCCAUUCACCUGUUGACGGAAACAGGUUUGAUUCCGUAUCUUGGCUAUUGUGAAUAGUGCCGCAAUAAACAUGGCAGUAUCUCUUCAAUAUACUGAUUUGCUUUCAUCUGGAAAUAUAUCCAGCAGUGGAGUUGCUGGAUCAUAUUGUAGUUUUAUUUUUAGUUCUUUGAGAAAUGUCUAUACUGUUCUCCAUAGUGGCUGUAUUAUUGUUAACCAUAUUUACAUUCCCACUGACAGUAUAUGAGGGUUCCCCUUUCUCCACACCCUCAUCAGCUUUUGUUAUUGCCUGUCUUUUGGAUAAAAGCCAUUUUAACUGGGGUGGGAUGAUAUCUCAUUGUAGUUUUAAUUUGCAUUUCUCUGAUAAUUAGUGAAGUUGAGCAUUUUUUUGUAUCUCUGUUGGCC
rnacentral:lncRNA from 10 species